AGCUGUCUGACUCCAAGAUGCCCAGAAAGGAAUGCAGCAUUCCAGGCUGUCUGUGAUGAUGACUGUGUAAUCUUCUGUUUUGAAGCUGGCACCCACAAUCAAGGCAUUUACUGAACAACCAAGUCUUUCCAGAAAUGAGCUAAAAUUGCAAGGCAACGUAAAUGCCAAGUAUGAUGGGAGGAGUGAGCAUUUCCUUAGGAGAAGCAAAUUCUAGAGUUAAGGACCCUCUGCUGAUUAUAAUCUGCCUCCAGGCACACAGCUCUGAAGACUGUCGUUUCCAGCAUAACAUCUUGUCACAAUAGCCUUGGUGCUGCACAGAAAGAGAGGUGUCCACUGAUCAGGAAGUCAGACAUCCCAAUUCUGUCACCUGCACCUACAAUGAAUUGUGGGUAGAAAACUGGAGACUUGAUUAAGAUUACAAAAUCAGGUCCAUAAUUUUUCAGUGGCAGCAUUUUUAUUGAUAUGACUUAGAUAGCAUUUCUGGGCUUUGCAGAAGAAGUGGUUGUGACCAGAAGCACCCCUAUAUUCACACCCUAGAGAAUUGUAAUAAUCUUUGUACAGAACAUGCCUUGUACGUUAUCAUUUGAAAACUAAUAACUCACUGGUCAAUAAUAUCAUGGCAAAAUAUAUGUAACCACAUUAUAUGUAAAGUUAUGAAUUCCCUCUGGAUGAUGUUAUUUUUUCAAAACCAGACAGCCCUGCCUAGGCAAAAGUUAUUAAGUGAACUAUCCUAAAUGAAGGAAUGUGUAUUUACCUCAGUUUGCACAUAAGUAAUAAACAAGACCAUCAAGAGCAGUAGGAGGAAAUGACAGGAAACAGACCAAUUUCCAUUACAGCAAACACAAGUUGGAGGGAAAAGAAGAACAUGGAGCCUACUUUACCACCAGACUCCAUGUUGCCUUCCUCACUGCUAGAAUAAACUUUACUUUGAGGGAUGACCUUCAGCAGAAUCCAUUUCAAAGGUUCAUUGGAGUAUAAAAGAAAGGGGCAGAAAACCUCCAAAUAUCUCUUCACCAAAGAAGACAAAGGCAGCAAUAAUUUUUGGCCUCUGGCAAACAUCCUGACCAAGGAGAGAGUCACUCUUCAUCUUGCUGGAAGACUUUGAGUGAGAAAGGUCAUCUUGAACGAAGCCUUGAACUAAAACUUGCUAGAUUAAGUUUCAGACUUUUAUAUUUUGUUUUACUAUUAAUCUAAACCAACAGCACUGUGUUUGUACUAAAGUGAAUGUUGGCUCCACUUAAUGUGGCAAACUGGUGUGUUUUGUCUCCUUAAAGGAGCAAAUGAACCAUAAUAUUUCUCUGAAAUACUGGGUGAGACCUGCAUGUUGGUAGGCUGUUUGGGAGCAGCCCAUGUUGAGAUCUACAACAGUAAAGUAUUGCGAGGCACCCAUGGUUACAGGGCAGAUGGUGAGACAACCUCUCACUGGUCUGGAUUGCACCACAGAAUGUGACAGGGUAUUUCAUCUACUCCAUUUGAAUUCUCUAAUUAACCAUUUUCAUAACCAUUUUUUUCCAUUCUCACUUUCUCUUCGUAAUUUGAACAAUUAGCAUGACAUUAUGAAGCUAUGUUGUAUGUGUCUACAUUCUGAUCAAAGUCAUAAACCAAAUCAAUUAUCCCAAAUUGUUCUGAGCAAAAAUUAAUUUUGUCACCAACUUGUCAAGUACAUCAAUCAGAUGUGACUUUUUGGAACCUGUAUCCCUUUCCUAGUUAGCUGUCUUGCCAUUACCCCUACUUUAAAGAACACAAUUAUGCACUGAAGAAUAGUUAUGUGUAAGAGUGGUUAAUAGGAUCCUGUCAGCGUAGAGAUAUUAUCUUCUUUCGGUCCAGUAUUCAAAUUUAAUGCACACAAUCCUUGGUUUUUAGUGCAUCAUGUGUGUAAAGGACUAGGGUGACCAAAUGAGAACUCGAAAAUAUCAGGACCGAUGCAGGGGGAGCACCUUUUUAGGUGUUACACUCAAACCGUAUGGGGUUUCUGCGGCAGUUCGGCGGCGGGUAAUAAACCUUGCCACCAAAGAAAGAAGUACCUGCCGCCGAAAUGCCGCCGAAGACCAUCAGCAACUGAAGGACCCGAAAACCCGGACGUGCCGGGUGAGUGUAACAAUUCAAAAGGCGCUCCCCCUGCCUGUCACCGCCGCAAAAAGAAAGAAAGAAAAAAAAUCCGCCCGAAACAAAAUAUCGGGACAAAUGGCGUCCCGACCAUGCUUCGGUCGGGACGCGGGACAAACUUCUCCAUAUUGGGACAGUCCCGAUUUUAUCGGGACGUCUGGUCACCCUAGUAAAGGACACAUGGUAAUUUACUAAACAAGGGGAUAGUGCUGUUAUGCAAGGUGAUACUGUUUGUUUUUUUAAUGCAGAAGCCUCAUAGUGCAGAGCAAUUUUCAAAGGAAGAUGACUACCAGGGACACUGCUGUCUAUCUCCACAUGAAAUUUAAAUAAAAUUGAAAUGUGUCUCUCAAGCAAUGCAUCUACAUAUCUAUACACCAUGUUAUUCUUCCAACUAUACUAAUUAUCUGAGUGUCCACAUACUGAAAGGCAACAAAUCUACUGACACUCUUGUGGGAGUGGAUGUCUUACAGGAUUAAUAAAGGGAUAACACAGCCUUUUAGUUCUAGGCUUUUUUGACAUGCAAUCUAGGGCAAACUAAUAGUGGCUGAAAAUUAUCUCCAUCUAAGGGUUGUUAAGGAAUGAGCUAGCUGUAAAUGAGCCAUGGAGACUGAAGUGAUGUUUCCAGAUCAGCAGUAGGACAGUGUAUGGAUGUUUUCACUUCCUGAAUCCCCAAUCCAAGUCUCAAAUAGGUGUAAUCUCGGCACUCUGUGCCAGUUUAACUAACAGGAAAUGGACAGAAAAUGCUAGGAUACAUCACAGUAUUGAAGAGAAUAAUCCAUUUUAUAAGUACUCUCCAUUAGCAUGAAACUUCUCUAAUGUCCCAUUGCUCUGGAAGCUGCGUGGACUCAAGGGACUGGUAAUGGGAUAAGGAGUCAUAAAUCUCCAGAUCAGAUCAAUUUUGGUUGUGGUGGUCAUGGUGGUCAGAAACAUUCAGAACUCUUAUCUCCCUCCACCACUUUUCACUGCACUUCUGGGUUCCAGCUAGAAGUGAAAGUGCUGAAGCAGUGAGAGGCAGAAUUGUUCCCAUGGCAUUUGGGGCUUGAGUGACAGCAGAAAGUAAAUAUCAUCUCACAAGAAAGCCCAGUCCUUCAUGAGUUUUCCUGCUCCAUAUAGCUGGCAGAAAUUCAAUAGUUCCAAUAAGAAUAGUCAUUGCUAUUUACGUGGCACAGUGGGUUUACAGAAUGCUGCACAGCAGGUAAAGGGCACAAGAACAAUCACAGAUUCCCUAUCUGGAAGAGUUUACAAUCUGAAAACAACAGUACAGUGCUGGAAGUCUUCAUAGACCACUUCAGAAGACACUGGAAAGAGAAGAGGCAGGAUGCUUGGAAGCUGUUCCAAAACUAAGAUUAUGUCUAAAAUGUAGUCUCAGCCCAUGCUUCUAAAAGUUUUUCCCUAAUACCCUGUAACAUCCACACACCCUUAAGCAUAUCAUUAUUUGCUCUUGAACCCAUGCCUGCACAGUAUUGGUUAAAGCAGAGGUAGGCAACCUAUGGCACAGGUGCCGAAGGUGGCACGCUAGCUGAUUUUCAGUGGCACUCACACUG